rnacentral:rRNA from 1 species
UAAGUGACUAAGCGUACACGGUGGAUGCCUUGGCAGUCAGAGGCGAUGAAAGACGUAGUAACUUGCGAUAAGCCCAGAUUAGGUAGUAACAACCAUUUGAGUCUGGGAUUUCUGAAUGGGGAAACCCACGUGCAUAAGCACGUAUCCUUACCUGAAUACAUAGGGUAAGGAGGCGAACCGGGGGAACUGAAACAUCUAAGUACCCCGAGGAAAAGAAAUCAACCGAGAUUCCGAAAGUAGCGGCGAGCGAAAUGGACUAGCCCUUAAGCUUUACACGCGUUAGACGAACGGUCUGGAAAGUCCGACGAUACAGGGUGAUAGUCCCGUAGUUGACGACGUGUGUUCAGUGAAAUCGAGUAGGGCGGGACACGUGAUAUCCUGUCUGAAUAUGGGGGGACCAUCCUCCAAGGCUAAAUACUACUGACUGACCGAUAGUGAACCAGUACCGUGAGGGAAAGGCGAAAAGAACCCCUGUGAGGGGAGUGAAAUAGAACCUGAAACCGUGUACGUACAAGCAGUAGGAGCAGGCUUUGUCCUGUGACUGCGUACCUUUUGUAUAAUGGGUCAGCGACUUAUAUUCAGUGGCAAGGUUAACCAUCUAGGGGAGCCGUAGGGAAACCGAGUCUUAACUGGGCGUUCAGUCUCUGGAUAUAGACCCGAAACCAGGUGAUCUAGCCAUGGGCAGGUUGAAGGUUGAGUAACAUCAACUGGAGGACCGAACCGACUAAUGUUGAAAAAUUAGCGGAUGACUUGUGGCUAGGGGUGAAAGGCCAAUCAAACCUGGAGAUAGCUGGUUCUCCCCGAAAGCUAUUUAGGUAGCGCCUCGGACGAAUACUACUGGGGGUAGAGCACUGUUAAGGCUAGGGGUCAUCCCGACUUACCAACCCUUUGCAAACUCCGAAUACCAGUAAGUACUAUCCGGGAGACACACGGCGGGUGCUAACGUCCGUCGUGGAGAGGGAAACAACCCAGACCGCCAGCUAAGGUCCCAAAUUACUACUAAGUGGGAAACGAUGUGGGAAGGCUCAGACAGCCAGGAUGUUGGCUUAGAAGCAGCCAUCAUUUAAAGAAAGCGUAAUAGCUCACUGGUCGAGUCGGCCUGCGCGGAAGAUGUAACGGGGCUAAGUAGUAAACCGAAGCUGCGGCAAUAUACUUUUGUAUAUUGGGUAGGGGAGCGUUCUGUAAGCGGUUGAAGGUGUGUGGUAACGCAUGCUGGACGUAUCAGAAGUGCGAAUGCUGACAUGAGUAACGAUAAAGGGGGUGAAAAACCUCCUCGCCGGAAGACCAAGGGUUCCUGUCCAACGUUAAUCGGGGCAGGGUAAGUCGACCCCUAAGGCGAGGCCGAAAGGCGUAGUCGAUGGGAAACGGGUUAAUAUUCCCGUACUUCUUACAAUUGCGAUGGGGGGACGGAGAAGGCUAGGUGGGCCUGGCGACGGUUGUCCAGGUUCAAGUGCGUAGGCUUAAGAGUUAGGUAAAUCCGGCUCUUUUUAAGGCUGAGACACGACGUCGAGCACCUACGGGUGUGAAGUCAUUGAUGCCAUGCUUCCAGGAAAAGCCUCUAAGCUUCAGAUUGUAAGGAAUCGUACCCCAAACCGACACAGGUGGUCGGGUAGAGAAUACCAAGGCGCUUGAGAGAACUCGGGUGAAGGAACUAGGCAAAAUGGUACCGUAACUUCGGGAGAAGGUACGCUCUCGACGGUGAAGUCCCUUGCGGAUGGAGCUAUUGAGAGUCGCAGAUACCAGGUGGCUGCAACUGUUUAUUAAAAACACAGCACUGUGCAAAAUCGUAAGAUGACGUAUACGGUGUGACGCCUGCCCGGUGCCGGAAGGUUAAUUGAUGGGGUUAGACUUCGGUCGAAGCUCUUGAUCGAAGCCCCGGUAAACGGCGGCCGUAACUAUAACGGUCCUAAGGUAGCGAAAUUCCUUGUCGGGUAAGUUCCGACCUGCACGAAUGGCGUAAUGAUGGCCACGCUGUCUCCACCCGAGACUCAGUGAAAUUGAAAUCGCUGUGAAGAUGCAGUGUACCCGCGGCUAGACGGAAAGACCCCGUGAACCUUUACUACAGCUUGGCACUGAACAUUGACCCUACAUGUGUAGGAUAGGUGGGAGGCUUUGAAGCACGUACGCCAGUAUGUGUGGAGCCGUCCUUGAAAUACCACCCUUGUAGUGUUGAUGUUCUAACGUCGACCCCUUAUCGGGGUUGCGGACAGUGCCUGGUGGGUAGUUUGACUGGGGCGGUCUCCUCCCAAAGAGUAACGGAGGAGCACGAAGGUGGGCUAAUCACGGUUGGACAUCGUGAGGUUAGUGCAAUGGCAUAAGCCCGCUUGACUGCGAGAAUGACAAUUCGAGCAGGUGCGAAAGCAGGUCAUAGUGAUCCGGUGGUUCUGAAUGGAAGGGCCAUCGCUCAACGGAUAAAAGGUACUCCGGGGAUAACAGGCUGAUACCGCCCAAGAGUUCAUAUCGACGGCGGUGUUUGGCACCUCGAUGUCGGCUCAUCACAUCCUGGGGCUGAAGUCGGUCCCAAGGGUAUGGCUGUUCGCCAUUUAAAGUGGUACGCGAGCUGGGUUUAGAACGUCGUGAGACAGUUCGGUCCCUAUCUGCCGUGGGCGUUGGAAGAUUGAAGGGGGCUGCUCCUAGUACGAGAGGACCGGAGUGGACGAACCUCUGGUGUUCGGGUUGUGUCGCCAGACGCAUUGCCCGGUAGCUAAGUUCGGAAUCGAUAACCGCUGAAAGCAUCUAAGCGGGAAGCGAGCCCUGAGAUGAGUCUUCCCUGAUACUUUAAGUAUCCUAAAGGGUUGUCGGAGACUACGACGUUGAUAGGUCAGGUGUGUAAGUGCUGUGAGGCAUUGAGCUAACUGAUACUAAUUGCCCGUGAGGCUUAACCA